AACAUUGGUCCAGCUAACUACACACCACCCUUAGGUUAGCUUGAUCGACAGUGGCGCAAACAACGUUAAUUUUGGUACGGCUGGAUGACGUGUUAUUGGUUGGGUGCACGCGCAAACAAUGUCGCCAAUAAUAACGAUGGGACGACGUGGGAAAUGCGACGACGAUAAACACUGCAGCGCUCAGUUAAAAAGAAAAUAUCGAAGAAAGUAGAAAACAAAUUUUAAAAAUGAGAGGCUCUUUAAGAUCACUUUUGCAUGUUGAAUAUUUAAAUGGCG